rnacentral:rRNA from 1 species
CGGGUGAGUAACACGUGGGUGACCUGCCCUUAGCUCUGGGAUAAGCCUGGGAAACUGGGUCUAAUACCGGAUAUGACUCCAUGACGCAUGUUGUGGGGUGGAAAGCCUUGUGCGGCUAGGGAUGGGCUCGCGGCCUAUCAGCUUGUUGGUGGGGUGAUGGCCUACCAAGGCGACGACGGGUAGCCGGCCUGAGAGGGCGACCGGCCACACUGGGACUGAGACACGGCCCAG